GUUGGCUUGGAAGCAGCCAUUCAUUUAAAGAGUGCGUAACAGCUCACUAGUCGAGCGGUUCGGCAUGGAUAAUAAUCGGGCAUAAGCAUAUUACCGAAGCUAUGGCAACGAAAGUUGGGUAGGGGAGCAUUCUAUCGGCGCAGAAGCAUCACUGUGAGGUGUUGUGGAGCUUAUAGAAAAGAAAAUGUAGGCAUAAGUAACGAUAAAGCAGGCGAGAAACCUGCUCACCGAAAGACUAAGGGUUCCUCAGCCAUGCUAAUCAGCUGAGGGUUAGUCGGGACCUAACGCGAACCCGAGAGGGGAAGUGGAUGGACAAUGGGUUAAUAUUCCCAUACUUGCUCACGAAUAAAGGGGACGGUUCAGCUAGACUACUGGAGACUGACGGAAUAGUCAAGACCUAGCCUACGGGCGAAGUUGUUGUAGAGUAACUGGAUCCAAGAAAAGCCGAAGUGAAGCAACCCGUACCAUAAACCGACACAGGUAGUCGAGGAGAGAAUCCUAAGGUGCUCGAGUGAGUCGUGGCUAAGGAACUAGGCAAAAUAGUCUCGUAACUUCGGAAUAAGAGACGCCAACAGCGAUGUUGGCCGCAGUGAAGAGGCCCAGGCGACUGUUUAUCAAAAACACAGGACUCUGCUAAAUCGAAAGAUGCUGUAUAGGGUCUGACACCUGCCCGGUGCUGGAAGGUUAAGGAAGGUGCUUAGCGUAAGCGAAGGCAUUGACUGAAGCCCCAGUAAACGGCGGCCGUAACUAUAACGGUCCUAAGGUAGCGAAAUUCCUUGUCGGGUAAGUUCCGACCUGCACGAAUGGUGUAACGAUCUGGGCACUGUCUCAGCCACGAGCUCGGUGAAAUUGUAGUAUCGGUGAAGAUGCCGAUUACCCGCAAUGGGACGAAAAGACCCUGUGAACCUUUACUAUAACUUCGUAUUGACUUUGAGUAAGUAAUGUGUAGGAUAGGUGGGAGGCUAUGAAGCUGGCACGCUAGUGUUGGUGGAGCCGUUGUUGAAAUACCACCCUUUGCUUACUUGGAGCCUAACUUCUGAAUAAGAGUAAGAAGGACAUUGCGUGGUGGGUAGUUUGACUGGGGUGGUCGCCUCCAAAAGAGUAACGGAGGCUUUCAAAGGUACCCUCAGCACGCUUGGUAACCGUGCGUAGAGUGUAAUGGCAUAAGGGUGCUUGACUGUGAGACCAACAAGUCGAUCAGGUGCGAAAGCAGGACAUAGUGAUCCGGUGGUUCCGUAUGGAAGGGCCAUCGCUCAUAGGAUAAAAGGUACUCCGGGGAUAACAGGCUAGUCUCCCCCAAGAGCUCACAUCGACGGGGAGGUUUGGCACCUCGAUGUCGGCUCGUCACAUCCUGGGGCUGGAGAAGGUCCCAAG
rnacentral:rRNA from 1 species